rnacentral:rRNA from 1 species
CUACGGAGGGCUGCAGUGAGGAAUAUUGCACAAUGGGGGGAACCCUGAUGCAGCAACGCCGCGUGGAGGAUGACGCAUUUCGGUGUGUAAACUCCUUUUAUAUGUCAAGAAAAUGACGGUAGCAUAUGAAUAAGCACCGGCUAACUCCGUGCCAGCAGCCGCGGUAAUACGGAGGGUGCAAGCGCUACUCGGAAUCACUGGGCGUAAAGGACGCGUAGGCGGGUUGGAAAGUCAGGUGUGAAAUCCUACAGCUUAACUGUAGAACUGCACUUGAAACUUCUGAUCUAGAGUAUGGGAGGGGGAGAUGGAAUUAGUGGUGUAGGGGUAAAAUCCGUAGAUAUCACUAGGAAUACCUAAAGCGAAGGCGAUCUCCUGGAACAUUACUGACGCUAAGGCGUGAAAGCGUGGGGAGCAAACAGGAUUAGAUACCCCAGUAGUC